AAAAAUUUCAGGCCCUGUACAUGUAGGCCUUGACCGAUUGAUUUUACGAGAUUGUAAUCUGCAACAGGCAAUUAAGAAGAUUUUGUCAUCUAUCUAAUUUGUAUGCGUGUCAAGAAUUUUUUUCUUUCCAUUUUCGUGUGUGUGUAUCUGUGUUGUGUGUGUGUGAAACGAGCGACUUCGAAAAAAUUCGGAUUUCAAAUUUCGAGUUACUAUUCACAGCACUAUUCAAAUUCGGCGAACACUAUUUAAAUUCGCGGCACUAUUUAAAUUCAGCUUACUAUUCAAAUUCGGGAAUAUGAAUAGUGUCCGAGCACUCACCUGGGAGUGGGUGGAGCACCUAAGUGUGGCGGCACUAUUCACUCACUAUUGCGCACUAUUGAGCUACUAUUCGGGGUCGCUUUCAGGGGAUACGGCACGCGCGGGUGCGUGAUUAGGUAUAUUCCUUGAUUAAGUCUAUUCUCAGGAUCUUUGCGGGUUGGCGAGACCGAAAAUUCAGCCGGUCGUGCUGCUAUGCUUGUGACAGUCCUACUCGGUACUCACCGCAUGCCUCGCUGGCUCGCUUCAGAACCAGGCCAGCCCGGUCUGCACCCUCACCAUCCCCAGCCACGCUCACACAGGACUCAGGCUCUACCGUCUCCCCAGGCAGUUCCACCCGAAGGGAACACUUCUCUGCGCACACAGGGUUCUCCUCAAACGCCGCUACCAGGGCUAACACGAGAACGACACACGCAGAGGUUUCUCCUCUAGGGUCCCUAGCGUAGAGACAUCGUCCCAUAAAAACGAGCUUAAAGGAAGGCAGGGAUGCUACCAGGACAGCUUAAUCCAUUUCCAUGGGAUAAGCUUACAUGCGGCUUUCCCUUUCGGGAAACCCCAAGCACUUAGCACAAACCUUGAUUACCUUACAAACCGAGGGACGAGCUCCAACGGCCUCCCUUUAUUCUAGUAGUGGUAGUACAGAGGUGGAGUAAUACAGCGGUAGUGGGUGAUUCUAAAUAUGGUGGCUAAAUUUCUUUCCUCAGAGAGCUUCCGAGGUGAUGGAUGUCUUCAUGGAGUAUGAGUGGAGUGUGGGUGGAGGUCUUCGGUGGUGUGUUGCUGGUGUCUUCGUGAUUCUUGGUGAUGCUGUGGUUAUCUGGUGCCCCCAAUGCUUCACCCGGUACCUCCUUUUAUAGUCGCGGCAGAGGCUUCUGGAGUUGCUUCGUGCUUAAGGCUUCUGGUGCCUUCUUCUGUUGCCUGGACACUUGGACGGCUCUCCGCUCCUCAAUAAUUGUCCUGGAUACAGUAGAGUUGCUGUUUAUUCUUUUUGCCUUGUCCUCUAUCGCGUACUGUCUUCUCGUGAUAUUCUGGAUGCUGCUUGGUGUGUGUGUGUGUAUAUAUAUAUAUAUAGGUUUGAAGCACAGUACAUAUCCUUGGUCGCUAAAUCUGUCUGCAUUUAGAUUAUGAACAAUGAUCUCCAAGGAACUGCACAAUAAAUUCAAUUUCAUCUUUUUUCAUUAUUGGUAAAUAUUCAUACUAAAGUACACAACACUGUGCGAGCUUUUCUUCAUGAUUGUCUGGGCACAUUUGUUUCUCAUCCAUCCGCCGUAUGAAGGCAUGACUAUAUAAGUGGCUUGAAAGUGAAGGGUGAAUAUAUAAACCUAGCUAGAAAGUUUGCGACAGUCAAUUAUCUUGUGGGUCUAAGCAUAAUGGUGUUCAAGCUGAUUUCCUUAUGCUUCCUCUUCUUCCUUACACUUGUUUUGAUUCCGGGAACGCAAAAUUGUUUGUAGUAGUAAUAUGUAGGAUUGGGAGGAAUUAGGAAAAUAUGUUGCAGCACAAUGGAGCUUUUGAGAGGUAGAGACAGUGUUGAAGAAUUGUCUAUUAUCAUUAGCAGGAACUAAUGUGGUGCAGUACCGAGUAUCACAAAGUUGACUUAUGAAUAGUUGAGGGUAAAAUCACAAAGUUGAGAAAAUGAGGGCAAAAUCACAAUUACACUUCAAAGCAGGGAGCUGAUCGAUGGUGCAUGAGGUCAUUGUACACGCAGGAGCCGAUCGAUCACACUGCUAGCUAUGCCUGCAGGAAAAAUGAAGCUGAAUGUAAUCUUCUCAUCACAACUGAUUUUAGGAAUGCUAGGG
rnacentral:lncRNA from 1 species